rnacentral:rRNA from 1 species
CCUUGCUUAGCCACACCCCCAAGGGAAUUCAGCAGUGAUUAAUAUUAUAAUAUGAGCGAAAGCUCGACCUAAUUAAGACCAAACAGAGCCGGUAAAAUUCGUGCCAGCCACCGCGGUUAUACGUAUGACUCAAAUUGAUGUCUCUCGGCGUAAAGCGUGAUUAGAGAAAAAAGACAACUAAAGAAGAACAGCUUUAAUGCCGUAUCAAGCUUACAAAAACCUGAAAAACAAUAACGAAAGUAACUUUAAACACUACUUGAAUUCACGACCGUAAAGAAACAAACUGGGAUUCGAUACCCCACUAUGCUUAACUGUAAACAAAGAUGAUAAUAGACAAACAUCAUCCGCCCAGGGGAUUACGAACAAAGCUUAAAACCCAAAGGACUUGGCGGUGCCUCAAACCCACCUAAAGGAGCCUGUUCUAUAACCGAUAACCCCCGUUUAACCUCACCACUUCUAGUUUUACCAACCUAUAUACCGCCGUCCUCAGCUUGCCUUGUGAAAGACGGAUACCAAGCCAAAUGGGUUAUACCCAGAAAGUCAGGUCGAGGUGUACUUAAUGAAGUGGGAAGAGAUGGGCUACAUUUUCUAACCCAGAAUAUUACGAAAAGUAUUAUGAAAGAAAACACAACUGAAGGUGGAUUUAGCAGUAAAAAGAUAACAGAGAGUUCUUUUGAAGUUGGCUCUGAGGCGCGUACACACCGCCCGUCA